rnacentral:pre_miRNA from 2 species
UCUGAUUCGCUUGGUGCAGGUCGGGAACAGCUUUGCCGUCGAUUUUCACAUUUGUCUUCACGGUGUGAGAAACUCGUACGGUGGUUGUUGCUCUUGCCUUACAUCAACUGAAUCUGAA